UCGACCUCGAAUCAAGUAAGAUUACCCGCUGAACUUAAGCAUAUCAAUAAGCGGAGGAA
rnacentral:rRNA from 1 species